UGGCCAACAUUUGUUCCGUGGUUGAGAACACCUCGAUGACGUCACACAGGAGGAAAAACAAAACAAGAUGGCGUCUGGCGGAGAUUACGUUGUUUUGGUUAUAAUGGUUUCUAGGUCUUAAUUACAACGUACAUGUGCACAUGUGUGUCGUUUAACAGAGUAAACGUACUUAUUAAUUGUUUGUAUGCGGAUACAUUAGUCUGAGUGCACUUUGACGUGCUAGCCUAGCUCGCUAGUUAGCUUAGCUUGUUAGCUGCUAACAAAGAGAGGCGGAAGUGAUCGACACAUCAAAGCAGGGAUCCAAUACGUCUGUGAAGAACAUCUUCACCCUUAGCAACAGAAGUGGAGCUUCAGGAUGCAGACGGAGGAAACACAGCCCUCCCACAUUAAGAUGGAAGAGGAAUACACACUGAUCCCCCAUUUUAAAAAGGAAGAGGAGGACCCACUGACACCCCUUUUUAAAGAGAAAUCAGUGGACCCACUGAAUCCUCACAUUAAAGAGGAAGAGGAGGAACACAGCAUCAGUCAAGAAUGGUUGGAGGAGUUCCAUGUGAUUGUGAAGAGUGAAGGUGAUGAGGUGAAAGGUGAAAGUGAGGAGAGGGGAGGGGGGGAGCCUCCAAGCAGCAGCUCAACACAACACAUGACAACAGAAGCUGAUGGAGACCACUGUGGAGGAUCACAAGCAGACAAGCUCUUAGCUCCACGAUCAGAUAGUGAGGACACAACGUCACACUCUCCUGACACUGAUGAUGAAGACUCUAAAGAUGAUGCAACAUGUCACACUGACAACAUUCACUUCACAUGUUCUCACUGUCACAAAACCUUUAAAUACCAUUGUCGUCUGAAAACACACAUGAGAACACACACUGGAGAAAAAACUUUUUCUUGUUCAAUUUGUGGUAAAAGUUUUACACAAAGUCAAGAUGUGAAAGUACACAUGAGAACACAUACCGGAGAAAAACCUUAUGUCUGUUCAAUCUGUAGUAAAAGUUUUGUACAAAGAAUCACUUUGAAAGUACACAUGAGAACACACACUGGUGAAAAACCGUUUUCCUGUUCAACCUGUGGUAAAUGUUUUACACGAAGUCAACAUUUGAAAAGACACAAGAGAACACACACUGGUGAAAAACCUUUUUCCUGUUCAAUCUGUGGUAAAGGUUUUACACGAAGUCAAGAUUUGAAAAGACACACUAGAACACACACUGGUGAAAAAUGACAUUCCUGUUCAAUCUGCAACAGAAGCUUUUGUGACCGAUCAAGGCUUCUAGGCAGUCUUCAUUGGGCCCUAAGCAAAAUUUGAUUUUGGGGCCCUCUAUUUCUGCCAAUAAUAUUGAUUGUUGAUCAUUCACACACCUCCUAUAAACUCAUUGCGGCUCUGGCAGUGUUUACAUGAUCCUAUUGUCAGCCUGGCAUGUCUUUACAAAUGACAUGUCAUUUAUAACUGGUGGCCCAGUUAAGAACAUAAAUAAUACCAAUGAAUGAAGGAAUGAUGUCCAGAGUGCCAUAUAUACUUCCUAAUUUUAAAAUGUAGAAAACAUUCAGCUACAAGAGUGGCCUGGGGUUGAACAGUCCAAGUGAUAAAGCUUUGUAUUUACAGUACAAAUGUCAUCUUGUCUCAUCAGUCUUGUACAUAUUAGUCUUUAAUUACUAAUUUAUAGUUUUAGUUAAUUGUUCAUAUUUCAUGUUUACUUUGUAUAAAGAGAGCGCAGUCUACUGAAGUUAAAUUCCAUGUGUGUUAAACAUAAUAGGACAAUAAAGGUGAUUCUGAUUCACUUUAUUAUUUUUGAUAACAAACACCUGAAACAGCAAUGUGCAAAAAUAAUUCGUAAUGCAAGAAAAACAAAGUGCAACAAUAAAAUCACUUAAAUAUAUAUAAAACGAAACACAUUCAAUUGUACAAAAACCAACAUAAUUAAGUUAAAUAUCAAGCAAAUACUUAAACAAUAAUAAUGAACAGAGUUACCAGAAACAAGGUAACAUGAUGCACCUGAAGGAUACACUAGACCUAAUACUGUACUGGGGCACAACAAAUUCAUGUGAGCUUAAGCAAAAACAUUUUUAGCACUUAUUUAUCAUAAAAAAUACAUAAAUAGUGCUUUAAACUAUGAAAUCAUAUCAGUAUGGAUCUUUGAUGAACCACCUGAAAUGAACUCAUGCAUUUGGCCUACUUGUGCACUUUUUUACUCCAGACUUCUAAACUGCUACUGGUAAAAGCAAAAAGGAAGAGCAAUGAAUCUUUUUGAAAUAUUUAUAUUACAGUAACUGUUAUACAGUUGACCAGUGGUUCCCAACUGCUGGGUCGUGACAUAAAAGUGGAUUGUGUGUCAUUUUCAGUGAGUCGCAGUCACAUGUGUGCAUGAAAAAAAAAGUUUAGGGAGAAAAAUAUCAAAUUGUGGCAACAAAACCAGAUAUUUUUAGCCAUAUUUCUAGUGACUAUUAGUGAGUAUUUUAGCAAAAGGCAAACCGACUAACACGUUGGAGGAGGACUCGGGACAGACAUGGAAAUAUAUUUUUUUUAAAUGGGGCAACAAAACCCGAUAUUUUCAGCCAUCUUUCUGGUAACAAAUAGAGAAAUGUUUUUUUUUCUGGAAACAAAAGCAGAUGCUUUAGCUGUAGCCAUUUUUCUGGUGACAAAACAAGAUUAUUUUAGUCAAAGUCACAGCGAUUAACAAGACAAGUCUACUGUGCUAUUUUUCUGUGAAAUAAACUUGAAUGAUUUAAAAA